GAGUUUGAUCCUGGCUCAGGAUGAACGCUGGCGGCGUGCCUAAUACAUGCAAGUCGAGCGAACAGACGAGGAGCUUGCUCCUCUGACGUUAGCGGCGGACGGGUGAGUAACACGUGGAUAACCUACCUAUAAGACUGGGAUAACUUCGGGAAACCGGAGCUAAUACCGAAUAAUAUAUUGAACUGCAUGGUUCAAUAGUGAAAAACGGUUUUGCUGUCACUUAUAGAUGGAUCCGCGCCGCAUUAGCUAGUUGGUAGGGUAACGGCUUACCAAGGCGACGAUGCGUAGCCGACCUGAGAGGGUGAUCGGCCACACUGGAACUGAGACACGGUCCAGACUCCUACGGGAGGCAGCAGUAGGGAAUCUUCCGCAAUGGGCGAAAGCCUGACGGAGCAACGCCGCGUGAGUGAUGAAGGUCUUCGGAUCGUAAAAACUCUGUUAUUAGGGAAGAACAAAUGUGUAAGUAACUAUGCACGCCUUGACGGUACCUAAUCAGAAAGCCACGGCUAACUACGUGCCAG
rnacentral:rRNA from 1 species